AGAGAUGUGGCUUAGUGGUAAAGCAUCUGCUUUGCAUGCAGAAGGUCCCAGGUUCAGUCCUCAAUCGCAUGUCCA